rnacentral:rRNA from 1 species
UACGUAGGGUGCGAGCGUUAAUCGGAAUUACUGGGCGUAAAGCGUGCGUAGGCGGCGAUGCAAGACAGAUGUGAAAUCCCCGGGCUUAACCUGGGAACUGCAUUUGUGACUGCAUGGCUAGAGUGUGUCAGAGGGAGGUGGAAUUCCGCGUGUAGCAGUGAAAUGCGUAGAUAUCAGGAGGAACACCGAUGGCGAAGGCAGGUCUCUGGGCUGACACUGACGCUCAUGCACGAAAGCGUGGGGAGCAAACAGG